AGAGAUCUAUGCCAAAGAAGAAGCUUCUAACUUCACUCUUUAGCGGUUCAACUCCGUUAAAUUCUC
rnacentral:tRNA from 1 species